UUCAACGAAGAAGACAUCAACUAAAACUGUUCGUCGUCAGGGAAAAGAAGGCUGACGACUUUGUGGAACUCAGUUGACUAGAUCCUAACGUUUCCUUCUUGCCACAGUAACCAGGGUUCGGUCAUGGAUGAGACUUCGGUCGGAGAUAUAUUCCCCCUCGCCGGAGCUAAGCCAGUGGUUUGAGGCCGCCCGAGUUAGUCUACUCAUCUCCGUUUUAAGACGAACUUUCACAUGGACAAGCCGUAAACAAUCUUGAGGGUGAUGACAAAAUGGGUUUGGGAGGAAUUUGCAAGGCGUCAACACUUCCUUUUAGCAUCUCCACAACUUGGGUCAUACAUGGUCGAGCUCUCGGAUCGAUCUGAAUGCACCAUAACCCUAUUACAAUCAUCUUCUUCGUGAUUUGUUCGUCCUCCUCAUUUAUGAUCCCACAUAGCCCAAGCUCUUCUCGGAGUUCCAGGCGUCGGUGGACCCAAUGAGGGAAGUAUAUUUCGCUGGUUCGAUCUACUGUGACUUCAAUAUUUUUCCUCUUACCAACCAUCUCUAGAACCAUCAUACCGUAGCUAUAGACAUCGGAUUUGUGAGAAACCCCUCCGAUGUUCCUUAUGAUCAGCUCCGGAGCAAUGUAUCCGGCGGUGCCCCGGGCACCAAGCAAUGACACGAUGCUCUCUUCUCUUGGGCAUAUUUUGGCAAGACCAAAGUCAGAAAUCUUGGGACAAUAGUUUGCGUCAAGGAGAAUGUUGUGAGGCUUUAUAUCAAA